rnacentral:miRNA from 15 species
AGUGUUCACUGUGAUCCUUGAU